rnacentral:lncRNA from 1 species
GUCCUGAUGUGUUUUGUCAACAGCUGUUCAAGACAAAAGGGGAACCGAAGAGCCACCCUGAACAGGAUGCGCUGCCUACCAAACGUCUCAGAGAGACUCGUAUUUCACAGAAUGCUGAGUGUGAGGUUCCAGAGGUUCCAUCCACUUCCCCACCCAAGGAGGACCUGACAACCACACUGGCCCCUGCUCCCCAGGAGUCCCAGUCCCGUAAACGCCCUCUCAUAGUCAGGGUGUUACGAGCUAUCUCCAGAGCCGUCUCUAAACCAUUCAGAGGAGCUUUUGGGAAGAAGAAUU